GACUGCGUAGCUCAGUUGGCAGAGCAUUGGGCUAGUAUUCCAAAGGUCGUAGGUUCGAUUCCCACCGUGGCCG
rnacentral:tRNA from 1 species